rnacentral:ncRNA from 1 species
AAAAAAUCAAUGAUAGAGAGAGUAAAUCGAAUUUUUUAUUUUCAGUGAGACGGGUGGUAGUGGAAGCCUGUUAGUAAAAACCGAUUGAACCGCACUCUAUCGAUGAAGAGGUGAAAUAGGAGUAGCUUCUUCCGCAGAUCAUGCGUUACUACAAUGAGGUGGAUAUGCCCGAGCGCAUGUCAACUAGAGUGGUACCGCGGAUAUAUGAUAUAUAGACCCGUCUCUUGC